rnacentral:rRNA from 1 species
UACGUAGGGGGCAAGCGUUGUCCGGAAUUACUGGGUGUAAAGGGAGCGCAGGCGGAGAAGCAAGUCAGUGGUGAAAACGAUGGGCUUAACUCAUCGACUGCCAUUGAAACUGUUUCCCUUGAGUGAAGUAGAGGCAGGCGGAAUUCCGAGUGUAGCGGUGAAAUGCGUAGAUAUUCGGAGGAACACCAGUGGCGAAGGCGGCCUGCUGGGCUUUAACUGACGCUGAGGCUCGAAAGUGUGGGGAGCAAACAGG